AUUGAACGCUGGUGGCAGGCCUAACACAUGCAAGUCGAACGGUAACAGGAAGAAGCUUGCUUCUUUGCUGACGAGUGGCGGACGGGUGAGUAAUGUCUGGAAAACUGCCUGAUGGAGGGGGAUAACUACUGGAAACGGUAGCUAAUACCGCAUAACGUCGCAAGACCAAAGAGGGGGACCUUCGGGCCUCUUGCCAUCGGAUGUGCCCAGAUGGGAUUAGCUAGUAGGUGGGGUAACGGCUCACCUAGGCGACGAUCCCUAGCUGGUCUGAGAGGAUGACCAGCCACACUGGAACUGAGACACGGUCCAGACUCCUACGGGAGGCAGCAGUGGGGAAUAUUGCACAAUGGGCGCAAGCCUGAUGCAGCCAUGCCGCGUGUAUGAAGAAGGCCUUCGGGUUGUAAAGUACUUUCAGCGGGGAGGAAGGGAGUAAAGUUAAUACCUUUGCUCAUUGACGUUACCCGCAGAAGAAGCACCGGCUAACUCCGUG
rnacentral:rRNA from 1 species